AAGAAUCAUGGGAAAGAGGCAAGCCCAUGAAGUCCUAGCAACAAGUCUCCUGCCUCUAAAAUUACGCUCCACAAGACAAACUCAUCCACUCCUCCGUCUUCUCAUCCCCAAGGCCUAAGACAUCUCUGACCUUAUCUCCAAAUACAGUCACCUUCCAAGAUACUGAGGAUUAAGACAUCAACAUAUGGAUUUAAGGGGACACAAUUCAACCCCUUGCAAAGAGCUACAGAUAUCUUUAUUCUACUACUCAUAAAAUGUCUUAGGAAUACAAUAGCCAUUAGAACAUUAACUGGUUGCAAAAGGUUGAAUUGCUGAAGAAACCAGCUGUUUUUCAGAAAGAGAAAAAGCUUUCAUGCAGCAUUCUUCAUUUAGAAGUGGAAUCUCCCUCUGUCAACCAGGCUGGAGUGCAUUGGCUUGAUGUCAGAUCUUGGAUCACCGCAGCCUCCGUCUCCUGGGUUCAAGUGAUUCUCCCGCCUCAGCCUCUCGAGCAGCUGGGACUACAGGAAGGCACCACCAUGCCUGGCUAAUUAUAAGUCUUUUGACUCACUCUUGUUCGUCCUACUUUCUUUUGCUUUUAUAUUCCAGUCAAACCAAAUUUCUCAUGGCUUUACGCAACUUUGACUUUAUAAGUUCUGCCCUACCAGCCUCUUGGACUUACCUUCUCUAUUUUUAACUGCCUAGUUCUUAUUAAAGACUGAAGUAAAGCACCUGCUUUCUGUGAAGCAUUUCUUCCAAC
rnacentral:lncRNA from 1 species